AUACGGAGGGUGCAAGCGUUAUUCGGAAUCACUGGGCGUAAAGGACGCGUAGGCGGGUUGGCAAGUCAGAUGUGAAAUCCUACAGCUUAAUUGUAGAACUGCAUUUGAAACUGCUAACCUAGAGUAUGGGAGGGGGAGAUGGAAUUAGUGGUGUAGGGGUAAAAUCCGUAGAUAUCACUAGGAAUACCGAAAGCGAAGGCGAUCUCCUGGAACAUAACUGACGCUAAGGCGUGAAAGCGUGGGGAGCAAACAGGAUUAGAAACCCGAGUAGUCC
rnacentral:rRNA from 1 species